AUUGAACGCUGGCGGCAGGCCUAACACAUGCAAGUCGAGCGGAUGAAGGGAGCUUGCUCCUGGAUUCAGCGGCGGACGGGUGAGUAAUGCCUAGGAAUCUGCCUGGUAGUGGGGGAUAACGUCCGGAAACGGGCGCUAAUACCGCAUACGUCCUGAGGGAGAAAGUGGGGGAUCUUCGGACCUCACGCUAUCAGAUGAGCCUAGGUCGGAUUAGCUAGUUGGUGGGGUAAAGGCCUACCAAGGCGACGAUCCGUAACUGGUCUGAGAGGAUGAUCAGUCACACUGGAACUGAGACACGGUCCAGACUCCUACGGGAGGCAGCAGUGGGGAAUAUUGGACAAUGGGCGAAAGCCUGAUCCAGCCAUGCCGCGUGUGUGAAGAAGGUCUUCGGAUUGUAAAGCACUUUAAGUUGGGAGGAAGGGAAGUAAGUUAAUACCUUGAUGUUUUGACGUUACCAACAGAAUAAGCACCGGCUAACUUCGUG
rnacentral:rRNA from 1 species